AAUUCAUUCAGGCUCCCAGCAACGGCGGCCUCAUCUGUCACUGACUUCCCACUCAUCCCCUUAAUGGCCCAAUGGAUGCCUUGCUGAGUUGUGUGCUUUUAAUGUCAUAAAAGAGGUUGACGCACACAUUGAAUUAGAAAGCAGCUUUGCACCAGAUCCAGCCCUACUUCCUCCACUUGAUGUAAUCCUGUCCUAUGCGUAGGAAGUUACAAGAAUCUGUGGUUACCAGCAGAAUAGUGUCAAUGAAGUAGGGAGCAGAUCUGGGGUGUAAGAAACUGGAAACCUUCACAAGAGAGCAAUAUGCAGAGAAAGAAAAGUAAGUAAGAAAGGAGACA